UUCACUUCAAAAAUUCAUAAGUCAAUGAAAACAAUUAAGAAAUGAAUGGGACCAAAACAGGGAUGUACUACAAUGUGUCUACAACCAUCAUACCAAAUUUCACAUUCAUCUAAAACCAUAUGAGCAUUUCACAAAGAUAACACAAACAUGUGUCACAUGAGCUUGCACAAUUGACAUACAGAGAUGAAAAACAUCAAUCAAAUUGAAAAUGCCACAUAAAAAUCCAGAAAACUUCACAUAGCAUCUCAACAUAUCCAUAAUCAUCCAUGUAAAAUUUCAACUCAUUCCAACAAUCAUAGGCUAGGCAAAUAAUUUCAUGAAGUUGCCCUAGUUAGGUGUGACACAAAUUGUCACACCUAAGUUCCAAAAAUCAUAUCUCACUCCACAGGUAUCCAAAAUUC
rnacentral:lncRNA from 1 species